rnacentral:rRNA from 1 species
UACAGAGGGUGCAAGCGUUAAUCGGAAUUACUGGGCGUAAAGGGUGUGUAGGUGGUAAGGUAAGUUAGGUGUGAAAUCCUCGGGCUCAACCUGAGAACUGCGCUUAAUACUGCAUUACUAGAGUACUGUAGAGGGUAGUGGAAUUUCCAGUGUAGCGGUGAAAUGCGUAGAUAUUGGAAGGAACAUCAGUGGCGAAGGCGACUACCUGGAUAGAUACUGACACUGAGACACGAAAGCGUGGGUAGCAAACAGG